GAAGGAUUGCAAACUCAAUAGGUAAAAAUCUACCCUCUUCCGCAUAUGUAUGUGAUAAAGGACCUUGUUCCCGAUUUGAGCAACUUCUAUGCUCAGUACAAAUCCAUUGAGCCUUAUUUGAAGAAGAAGGAUGAAUCUCAGGAAGGCAAGCAGCAGUAUCUGCAGUCCAUAGAAGAGCGUGAGAAACUGGACGGGCUCUACGAGUGCAUUCUCUGUGCCUGCUGUAGCACCAGCUGCCCCAGCUACUGGUGGAACGGAGACAAAUAUCUGGGGCCUGCAGUUCUUAUGCAGGCCUAUCGCUGGAUGAUUGACUCCAGAGACGACUUCACAGAGGAGCGCCUGGCCAAGCUGCAGGACCCGUUCUCUCUAUACCGCUGCCACACCAUCAUGAACUGCACAAGGACCUGUCCUAAGGGUCUGAAUCCAGGGAAAGCUAUUGCGGAAAUCAAGAAAAUGAUGGCAACCUAUAAGGAGAAGAAAGCUUCAGUUUAACUGUUUCCAUGCUAAACAUGACUUAAAA